UGCAGUCGACGGUAAGGCCCUUCGGGGUACACGAGUGGCGAACGGGUGAGUAACACGUGGGUAAUCUGCCCUGCACUUCGGGAUAAGCCUGGGAAACUGGGUCUAAUACCGGAUAUUCAGUUCCUGCCGCAUGGUGGGGGUUGGAAAGUUUUUCGGUGCAGGAUGAGCCCGCGGCCUAUCAGCUUGUUGGUGGGGUAAUGGCCUACCAAGGCGACGACGGGUAGCCGGCCUGAGAGGGUGAUCGGCCACACUGGGACUGAGACACGGCCCAGACUCCUACGGGAGGCAGCAGUGGGGAAUAUUGCACAAUGGGCGAAAGCCUGAUGCAGCGACSCCGCGUGGGGGAUGACGGUCUUCGGAUUGUAAACCCCUUUCAGUAGGGACGAAGCGCAAGUGACGGUACCUGCAGAAGAAGCACCGGCCAACUACGUGCCAGCAGCCGCGGUAAUACGUAGGGUGCGAGCGUUGUCCGGAAUUACUGGGCGUAAAGAGCUCGUAGGCGGUUUGUCGCGUCGUCCGUGAAAACUCGGAGCUUAACUCCGAGCUUGCGGGCGAUACGGGCAGACUUGAGUACUACAGGGGAGACUGGAAUUCCUGGUGUAGCGGUGAAAUGCGCAGAUAUCAGGAGGAACACCGGUGGCGAAGGCGGGUCUCUGGGUAGUAACUGACGCUGAGGAGCGAAAGCAUGGGUAGCGAACAGGAUUAGAUACCCUGGUAGUCCA
rnacentral:rRNA from 1 species